AACGAACGCUGGCGGCAGGCCUAACACAUGCAAGUCGAGCGCGCCCUUCGGGGUGAGCGGCGGACGGGUGAGUAACACGUGGGCAACCUGCCUCAUAGAGGGGAAUAGCCUUCCGAAAGGAAGAUUAAUACCGCAUAACAUUGUUGAAAGGCAUCUUUUAACAAUCAAAGGAGCAAUCCGCUAUGAGAUGGGCCUGCGGCGCAUUAGCUAGUUGGUGAGGUAACGGCUCACCAAGGCGACGAUGCGUAGCCGACCUGAGAGGGUGAUCGGCCACAUUGGAACUGAGACACGGUCCAGACUCCUACGGGAGGCAGCAGUGGGGAAUAUUGCACAAUGGGGGAAACCCUGAUGCAGCAACGCCGCGUGAGUGAUGAAGGUCUUCGGAUUGUAAAGCUCUGUCUUUAGGGACGAUAAUGACGGUACCUAAGGAGGAAGCCACGGCUAACUACGUGCCAGCAGCCGCGGUAACAC
rnacentral:rRNA from 1 species